rnacentral:rRNA from 1 species
CACGGGGGGAGCAAGCGUUGUUCGGAAUCACUGGGCGUAAAGGGCGUGUAGGCGGUCAGGUAAGUGAGAUGUGAAAUGCCCCGGCUCACCCGGGGACCGGCAUCUCAUACUGCUUGGCUUGAGUACGGGAGAGGAUGUGGGAAUUCCUUGUGUAGCGGUGAAAUGCGUAGAUAUCAGGAGGAACACCGGUGGCGAAGGCGCACAUCUGGCCCGAUACUGACGCUGAGGCGCGAAAGCUAGGGGAGCAAACGGG